UGGGGAAUCUUAGACAAUGGGCGCAAGCCUGAUCUAGCCAUGCCGCGUGAGUGAUGAAGGUCUUAGGAUCGUAAAGCUCUUUCGCUGGGGAAGAUAAUGACGGUACCCAGUAAAGAAACCCCGGCUAACUCCGUGCCAGCAGCCGCGGUAAUACGGAGGGGGUUAGCGUUGUUCGGAAUUACUGGGCGUAAAGCGCACGUAGGCGGAUCGGAAAGUUGGGGGUGAAAUCCCGGGGCUCAACCUCGGAACUGCCUUCAAAACUAUCGGUCUAGAGUUCGAGAGAGGUGAGUGGAAUUGCGAGUGUAGAGGUGAAAUUCGUAGAUAUUCGCAGGAACACCAGUGGCGAAGGCGGCUCACUGGCUCGAUACUGACGCUGAGGUGCGAAAGUGUGGGGAGCAAACAGG
rnacentral:rRNA from 1 species